GCGCUCAUAGCUCAGCUGGAUAGAGCAUUUGAUUGCGGUUCAAAAGGCCAGAGGUUCGAAUCCUCUUGAGCGCGCCA
rnacentral:tRNA from 1 species